UGGGGAAUAUUGCACAAUGGGCGCAAGCCUGAUGCAGCCAUGCCGCGUGUGUGAAGAAGGCCUUCGGGUUGUAACGCACUUUCAGCGAGGAGGAAGGGUAGUGUGUUAAUAGCACAUUGCAUUGACGUUACUCGCAGAAGAAGCACCGGCUAACUCCGUGCCAGCAGCCGCGGUAAUACGGAGGGUGCAAGCGUUAAUCGGAAUUACUGGGCGUAAAGCGCACGCAGGCGGUUUGUUAAGUCAGAUGUGAAAUCCCCGCGCUUAACGUGGGAACUGCAUUUGAAACUGGCAAGCUAGAGUCUUGUAGAGGGGGGUAGAAUUCCAGGUGUAGCGGUGAAAUGCGUAGAGAUCUGGAGGAAUACCGGUGGCGAAGGCGGCCCCCUGGACAAAGACUGACGCUCAGGUGCGAAAGCGUGGGGAGCAAACA
rnacentral:rRNA from 1 species